GCCAUCAUGAUGGAACUGGCAGACAUGGCAGGCUGAGAACCUGUCCCUCGCUUGCGAGGUUGUGGGUUCGAUUCCCACUGGUGGCA
rnacentral:tRNA from 2 species